rnacentral:lncRNA from 1 species
CCCAGGACCAGCAGCAUCCAGGGACGGCGUCAGCAACCAGGCGGGAGCCUGGGGACAAAUGGAAGUUCAGAGCUAAGCCAUGAGCCAGGAAUCAGCCAGCUCACUAUUGGUCACAACUAACCUGAAGCCAGAAGGCAUAGAGGCCUGUUGAUAAAGUACAUAGAAGCCAAGCUCCUGAGGCAGAGACCAGGAUGGAGAAAGAUGGAGAACACAUCUGGAUGGAAAGGAAAGAUACUGCAGCAAGCAGAUGUUGAUUCAUUGAACAAUCCCAACAAACUUCUCUGUGAAGCUAUUUACAUGGUCCCAAACACUAUCAGCUUUCAAGACUGGCUUCCAAUUGCACAGAUGUGGCCCCUCUGUGUCUCUGUGUUGGCAGAAUUCUAAGAUGGCUCCCAAGAUUCUUGCUCCCUGUGUCCACACGCUGUGCAAUCCCCUCCCCUUGAGUGUGAGAGCAACCUGUGAAUAUAAUGGUAUAUCACUCCUGUGAUUGUGUUAUGUUAUAUGGCAAAGGGAUUUACCGAUGUAAUUAAGAUCCCUAAUUAGUUGACUUUGAGUUAAUCAAAAGAGAGAUUAUCCUGGGUGGGCCUGACCUAAUCAGAGGAGCUCUUACAAGAGAUCAGAGAGAUUCGAAGUGAGAGAUUUCUCCUGCUGACCUUGAAGAAGCAAACAACCACACUGUGAACUGCUUGGAGAGGUCUCUACGGCAAGGACCUGAUGUCGACCUCUAGGAACUGAGAGUGGUCCCUGACCAACAGCCAGCAAGAAGUUGGGGACUUCACUCCAACAACCGCAUGGAACUGAA